rfam:Triticum aestivum genome assembly, contig: Triticum_aestivum_CS42_TGACv1_scaffold_147233_2BS
AUAUUACUCCUUCCGUCCGAAAAUACUUGUCAUCAAAAUGGAUAAAAAAAGAUGUAUCUAAAACUAGAAUACGUCUAGAUACAUCUCCUUCUAUUUAUUUUGAUGACAAGUAUUUUCGGACGAAGGGAGUAUAAA